rnacentral:rRNA from 1 species
UACGGAGGGUGCAAGCGUUAUCCGGAUUUAUUGGGUUUAAAGGGUCCGUAGGCGGAUCUGUAAGUCAGUGGUGAAAUCUCACAGCUUAACUGUGAAACUGCCAUUGAUACUGCAGGUCUUGAGUAAAGUAGAAGUGGCUGGAAUAAGUAGUGUAGCGGUGAAAUGCAUAGAUAUUACUUAGAAUACCAAUUGCGAAGGCAGGUCACUAUGUUUUAACUGACGCUGAUGGACGAAAGCGUGGGGAGCGAACAGG